AUCAACCUAAUUACCUUGCAGGGUAUAGGACCAAAACCGAUGAUUCCAAUACACCCUACAUAGCUGGGUAUACAACAACUAAUGCCCAUGUGGCAAAUAAUCAACCUAAUUACAUUGCAGGGUAUAGGACUAGCACCACCCAAGAAUCCAAUACACCUUCUUACAUUGCAGGGUAUAGGACUAGCACCACCCAAGAAUCCAAUACACCUUCUUACAUUGCAGGGUAUAGGACUAGCACCACCCAAGAAUCCAAUACACCUUACAUUGCAGGGUAUAGGACUAGCACCACCCAAGAAUCCAAUACACCUUACAUUGCAGGGUAUAGGACUAGCACCACCCAAGAAUCCAAUACACCUUACAUUGCAGGGUAUAGGACUAGAACCACCCAUGAUCCUAAUGCACCUUACAUAGCUGGGUACACAACAACUAGUGCCAAGAAAGCUCCAAAAGGGUCAUCUCAUGAUGAUACCACUGGACCUUACAUAACCCAAUAUGGUGGACCCGGUCCCAAAAAU
rnacentral:lncRNA from 1 species